rnacentral:rRNA from 1 species
UCCUUUCAGGUAKCGGCUCAKACKGUMAYSACAGUCGAGCGGACCGAACGGAAGCUUGCUUCUGUUCGGUUAGCGGCGGACGGGUGAGUAACACGUGGGUAACCUGCCCGUAAGACCGGGAUAACUCCGGGAAACCGGGGCUAAUACCGGAUAACACCGAAGACCGCAUGGUCUUUGGUUGAAAGGUGGCUUUUGCUACCACUUACGGAUGGGCCCGCGGCGCAUUAGCUAGUUGGUGAGGUAACGGCUCACCAAGGCGACGAUGCGUAGCCGGCCUGAGAGGGUGACCGGCCACACUGGGACUGAGACACGGCCCAGACUCCUACGGGAGGCAGCAGUAGGGAAUCUUCCGCAAUGGACGAAAGUCUGACGGAGCGACGCCGCGUGAGCGAAGAAGGUCUUCGGAUCGUAAAGCUCUGUUGUUAGGGAAGAAGAAGUACCGUUCGAAUAGGGCGGUACGGUGACGGUACCUAACGAGAAAGCCCCGGCUAACUACGUGCCAGCAGCCGCGGUAAUACGUAGGGGGCGAGCGUUGUCCGGAAUUAUUGGGCGUAAAGCGCGCGCAGGCGGUCCCUUAAGUCUGAUGUGAAAGCCCACGGCUCAACCGUGGAGGGUCAUUGGAAACUGGGGGACUUGAGUGCAGAAGAGGAGAGCGGAAUUCCACGUGUAGCGGUGAAAUGCGUAGAGAUGUGGAGGAACACCAGUGGCGAAGGCGGCUCUCUGGUCUGUAACUGACGCUGAGGCGCGAAAGCGUGGGGAGCAAACAGGAUUAGAUACCCUGGUAGUCCACGCCGUAAACGAUGAGUGCUAAGUGUUAGAGGGGUUWWMCCYUUWRUGSUKKARCUWAMGSSKUWARCMCYYCSCCUKGGGGARKWMSGGCGSMAGGSUGAAACUCMAARGAAUUGRCGGGGGCCCCGCAMAAGCGGKGGAAGCAUGKKGUUUAAUUCGAAGCAACGCGAGAAUCUUACCRGUCKUUGACAUCUCUGACAACCUGGAGAMAGGGCGUUCCCCUUCCGGGGGACAGGUGACAGKGUGCAUGGUGGUCGUCAGCUCGUGUCGUGAGAUGUGGAUUAGUUCCGCACGAGCGCAUCUCGCUAGUGCAGCAUUCAGUGACACUCUAGGGGAACUGGCGGAKACAACG